GACGAACCGAGCGAACGUUGUUCGGAAUCACUGGGCUUAAAAGGGCGCGUAGCGGGCUGCCAAGUUUGGGGUGAAAUCCUCCGGCUCAACCGGAGCAGUGCCUCGAAUACUGGCGGUCUCGAGGGAGGUAGGGGCGUGCGGAACUGUGGGUGGAGCGGUGAAAUGCGUUGAUAUCCACAGGAACUCCGGUGGCGAAGGCGGCACGCUGGACCUUUUCUGACGCUGAGGCGCGAAAGCCAGGGGAGCGAACGGG
rnacentral:rRNA from 1 species